AUUGAACGCUGGCGGAAUGCUUUACACAUGCAAGUCGAGCGGCAGCGCGGGGGCAACCCUGGCGGCGAGCGGCGAACGGGUGAGUAACAUAUCGGAACGUACCCAGUCGUGGGGGAUAACUAUCCGAAAGGAUAGCUAAUACCGCAUACGUCCUGAGGGAGAAAGCGGGGGAUCGCAAGACCUCGCGCGAUUGGAGCGGCCGAUAUCGGAUUAGCUAGUUGGUGGGGUAAAGGCUCACCAAGGCGACGAUCCGUAGCGGGUCUGAGAGGACGACCCGCCACACUGGAACUGAGACACGGUCCAGACUCCUACGGGAGGCAGCAGUGGGGAAUAUUGCGCAAUGGGCGAAAGCCUGACGCAGCCACGCCGCGUGAGCGAUGAAGGCCUCGGUCGUAAGACUCUGUGGGAGGAGACG
rnacentral:rRNA from 1 species